AACGAACGCUGGCGGCAUGCCUAACACAUGCAAGUCGAACGAGACCUUCGGGUCUAGUGGCGCACGGGUGCGUAACGCGUGGGAACCUGCCCUUAGGUUCGGAAUAACUCCCCGAAAGGGGGGCUAAUACCGGAUAAUUUCUUCGGACCAAAGAUUUAUCGCCUUUGGAUGGGCCCGCGUUGGAUUAGCUAGUUGGUAGGGUAAAAGCCUACCAAGGCGACGAUCCAUAGCUGGUCUGAGAGGAUGAUCAGCCACACUGGGACUGAGACACGGCCCAGACUCCUACGGGAGGCAGCAGUGGGGAAUAUUGGACAAUGGGCGAAAGCCUGAUCCAGCAAUGCCGCGUGAGUGAUGAAGGCCUUAGGGUUGUAAAGCUCUUUUACCCGGGAUGAUAAUGACAGUACCGGGAGAAUAAGCUCCGGCUAACUCCGUG
rnacentral:rRNA from 1 species